GGCACUUUCAGCAGUGGCAGCGGAGUCUCAGGCCCUGCCCACUCCCAGACACACACUGUCUGUAGCCCAGGGCCUGUGGGUGCCCCCUGCCAGCCUGUGGGACAGCGACACAGGUUGUCACGGGACACGUGGCCCUGCCCAGGCAUACUGGGAAGUGUCCUGGCGGCACUCCACUCAGCGCAGGUCCCGAGGAGCUACAGGCAUGACUCUGCCUUGAGAACUCCCCCCAGCCUGUUCCUUCCCAGCCUUGGCUCAUGAAGCUCCUCCAAGGACCACAGGCCUUCCAUGGCGCAGCCCUGCCACGAAGCCUCCCCACGUCUUGCCUCCAGCAUCACCUGGCCGAGAUGGACCUAGCGCAUCCUUCCAGGGCCGAGGUCAUGGCCACAUAGCCCCCAGUCAGGAGGGAUGACGCCCCCUCCCAGAGGCCAGCAAGGUGGACAUGGAGACCCCACUCUUUGGAGCAGAAAAUGGUGUUGGAUGAGGGGCAGAGCUCGUCCCGGGUCACCAGACCUAGGACGCCAGAGUCAGGAUCUCACCCGAGUCUCCAGCGGGUGCCUGGCCAUGGGUUCAGCUGUUCCACCUCUGUAAGGAUUCGGGGAGCAGGAGGAGAGAGCCCCUGAAGUGAGGGGACAGUGGGGCCUUGUCAUUGGGAGGACAGGUGUGUGGUGAGAGCCAGUGAUGGGAGCAUGGCCUGGACUGGCCAGGAAGUGGUAGGCCAGGGGAGUAGAGGUAACAGGGCCCACUGACAACAGGGCAUCUUCUCCAGGGCCUCAUUCAGUCUCAGACCAAGUUUAUGCAUCAUUUUCCUCCUAUUGACAAUUGAUCAGCCACCAGCAUGGAUGCCUCAGGGCCACCAGCACGGAUGGCCGUCAGCCAGGAGGAGAUGGGGGUCCUGGGGGUCCACACUAGUGUGCUGUCAUCUCAGAGCUGGAGCAGCCAGGGAAGGGAAAGACAUUUGGGGGGCACAGCUGGCCGCCACCGUCCGCUGAGGUGGGUCUACAGCAGGGGCAGGAAAGAGAAUGUUCCAGCAAGAGGUGGAACCCCACUGAUAGCCCCAGCCUGCCCCCUCACCCACCUGUCCCCCAUCUCAGUGAGGACAGCAGGUGUGUUCUGAUACCCUGUCCCUGCCUCCGUCCCGGCUGUAGGCUGGUCCCGUGUCACACCUGGGGGCCUCUUGCUGCUCCGUGGCCUCUGAGGCCCCAGGCACAUGCUGGGUCCUGCCCAGCCCUCCCUUCUUCUGCUCUCAAGGGGACCCCUCCAGGAGACCCCUCCCUGCCCAGCGGCCCAGGGGGCUGCGUUUCCCAGCUGGCGCCCGAGAGUGGCGCCCGCGUAGUAAUUCCUAAUUAAAUAGAGCACAAAACAGGGGCCGGCCAACGAUGAGCCAAACCAGUUGGAUUUUGAAGAGCAAAUAUCCCGUUAGCACUACUUCUGCCGAGUCCACAUGGCCGUGAAGCGGAGACAUACGGGAGCUCGGUAAUGAAUAUGGAAACCUUCUUUUCUGGUAUUGCUCCCUCAUAAACGAAGCCGCUUUAUGGAACACGAGCAGAGGGAAAACGACUGCGCCCAGCCAGAUUUAUCUGCUCAGAUGCUUUGUAGUGCUUCAGAUUAAUAAAAAUAUUUAAUAAAGAAUCAAGAGGGUUUAUCUGUAAUGCAAAGAGAAUCACAUUGCCUAUAUUUUUAUUACUGAAAAAUUGGAAGCAGGAAGAAAUAAUGAUAUAAGCUACCGUAUAAAUGACAAAAAUACCCA